CUAGGAGCUGUAACAUCAUAGCAGUUACAAGCUGCAAUGUAACAAACAAACUCAGUCUCUUCUAUUUAUACUAAUAGCUGAGGUCAUGUGAAAUUACUGACCUGCAUGCGGGAUCACAACCAGAACGAACUUGAGAGUCUGAAUGCUCAGAAACAUUAGUUUCUUCCAAAGCACUUUUAAAAUUUCUGCCUUACCAUGAAAAAAAUAGCAAGGAUUCCCACAUUUCCCUCUUUAGCACAAGCAGAUUUGAGAAAACCAUUAUUUCAGACCCUUCCAGGACUUUCUGUUCUAAAUCACAGAUUUUACAUUUGUUUAAUCAUCCAGAAAACCUGAGGUACAAGGAGGAAAGAGUGGGUUUGCCCUGUUUUUGCUCCUUUCAGUUGUAUACAUGAAGCCAGAGAGGUUUAUUCCUUAAGAAAACUAAGGGAAAGGUCAUGUUCACAUGGGUUUUGUCACUCUGGAAGUGUGUAGCACCUCCUCUGAAAGAGAAAUUUUGCUAAUUCCCAACAGUACUGGAGGAAUUUCCAUAAUGGAUUUCCAUUAUUUAUCUCUGGAAAUCCUGUAGCCAUAUUAGCAGCACUGACAGACAGGUUUGACUACAUGCCUGAGUCUUUCAGCAAGGGGCAUGUGAUUUGUCAGUCCUGAUAUUUCUGAAAGUAACCAAGCUGAAAUGCAUGUAUAUUUAAAUAUAAUAAUGGGUUCUCGGUUGUUUGUCAGGACUUACAGACUGAUGCUCUCAACAAGCACCAGUCAAUCCUCCCACUAACUUUUGAGCCCAGUAACCAAUUUCCAUUAAAUUUCACAAGGGUUAGCAGCAGAAGCUAGUACCAUAUGGAAGGUUUUAAGGACUUAGUGGCUAGUAAGAGAAUAAGAGACCUUACAAACCCUCUGUCGUUGAGAAAGCUAAUGAGCUUUCUCUUUUCUUGCCAUCAGAGAAUUCAAGUGGAGCAGGCUGAGAAGGAAAUAGGGAGCUUCCCUCACUUUCACACGCAAAUCACCUGUAGAGAGCAGGACAGGUUAAGGCCCCACUAAUCUGCAAGCGGUUGCUUGUGGAUGGACUGCAACACGGAUGUGUACUUCCAGUGAAUUCAGCUGAGCUAUAGUUUCAACAAUUAGCUUAGGGAAGAAAAUGUUGCAAGACUAAUUAGCUGGUUUCUAGCAGAGGCAUGAAGUGAUUUCCAUUUACUAACCCUGAAAACAUGUAUUACUGGGUGCGGUGGUCCUAGCACAAGUGGUUCACUUGGCAACAAAUGUGUAAGGCAUAACUUUUUGAAAUGGUGAAAUGAAAAUGUGAUUUAUCUGCGAUGUUUCUAUCCUGGUAAUAGCUUCAAGAUUUGAAGAAGAGUAGCAGUUAUCUGGAAUUUUUCAGUUGCGCGUGAGGUGCUUCAGAAGACACACACAGGAAAGACGAAAAUGCUUUUAGGACUUCUUGGCUAUGUAAUGAGGAUCAUCUUGUUUGGGACACAGUCAUGGAGAAACAACAGGAUUGUGCUUUCUCUGCCAGAUUCCUGUCUCGAAGGAGAUCCAGUUCAAGAGAUGGACAACUGCACGGUGGACUGGAUGUUGCAUCUGAGCACCCUUCCGGUCAGUCUGAAAUGUAGAGCAUUCCUCUCUUCCCACUUAGAAAUACAGAACUGCAGAGAUGAAUGCCACCAUCCAAGAAGUAGGUUGGGUAAGAUGGAAGUUGUGUCACAUGGCUUCAAGGGUGCCCAACACCAGUCAGCACUAAGUACUACCUGACUGCUGAUAUUCUUCAUAAUCUCUCAUAUGUAAUCUCUAUUUAGCAACUGAUAGAAGGAGGGGAAAGUCGUGAUUUCCUAAAAGGGCUGUACCAUCUGUCAGUGCUACUCAUCUUUUCUUCAAACUUCUUUUGAGUUAUUUUUUUCUCUUUCUGACAUUCACCAUUCCCAGGCUGGGCUAUAGCCGGGUGAGUGUGCUGUUCAGUACCAAUUAUGAGAUACAUAGAACUGUUUAUUUCAAAAUCUGUGGCAUCUCAGAAAAUGAAAUACCACUGACACAAAUACUGAAAACCAGCUCUCCACGAGGGGAUGUGAAGCAAGGCAGAUAAUCAUUAUGGUCCUUUCAGGUAUUUCUGCAGGGAGUGAAGAUAGUUUUCAUCUUCAGAAUGACCCCUCUGAUCCCAGAGAGCUUCUGUGGAAAAGCAGCAAUAUCUUGAGUUCAUUCAUGUCAAAAGCUGCUGAUAAACCUCACAGACUUUUACCAGAGAUAAGAGGAGCAUAUUGCACAACGGCCUUAAACCAUGCUAAGAUUUGGAUUCUUGUGAAAGGGGAGCAUUAUUAACACUGGAUUUCUCAAAUUUUUUUUCUUACUCCAAAAAUGAAGCGAUUGUACAAUGCAGUAAGUAUGAUUCUUUUGGAUUUCAAUGUGAUUCUUUUAAUGAGUAACAUCUGGAUUAAGACUGUGGGAAGAAAUUAGGCUCUUUUUUUUUUAAUCCUAUGCCUGUUUUAUUAAUUUUUCUUCUGCAUAUAGCUUUUUCCAUUUUUCUUUUUAUUUUCCUUUUGCUUUUAAUAGAGCUUUGUUUUAGGGUUUUAAUUUUUGGAGUUCCCUUUUGCACUCUCACUCUUCAACAGUGCACUAAUGUUCAAAAUGUGAAAAUGACAACAAAGGCACAUCCUCAUACAAUCAACAUGCUAAACCCAGUCAAACAAAGCAGAGCAGGGUACAGAAUCAGGACUGCAAUAAAAUAUGCAGCAAACUCCUAAAGAAAAAAAUAAAGAAGUUAGUACAGCAAACAGCAAGAAACUAAACAAACACAUUCAAACACAGCCCAGAAAUGAAGCAAACGCACCAAGUAUGAUGAGAAAGGAAAAAUCAGGUUAGGGCCAUCUCCACUCAUGGGAACACGCAAAGAGAGUCAGCAACUGCAGGCUGCACACUUUCCUCCAGAAAACAAGGCUUGAUUUUCAGAAGCGCUUUUGAGGACGGAAUUUUCUGCUUCCCUCCAGGAAAGAGAUCACUUUUUAAAGCUCAGCCUUACUAGAAAGUCAGGGUGAUUACUGGAAUGUGGUUAAAUGUUCUACCCUCUGAGGAAAUGUUUAUCCCCACUAACCGGGGGUAAUUAGAAAGAAAGAUGGCAUUACAAAUUACCCAUGGAACUUACUUAAAAACUUAUCUUUGGCAUUUUAUAGUGUGUUGGCAGCAAUAAAACGGAAGAGAAUUGGUGUUGGUGGUUCAGAGGGUGGGAAGGCUGGAACAGGAAACAUCAGGAACAGCUAAUAUAGUGUGUAGGCAGUCAAAAUGUAAUUCCCAAUACACAUAUAUCUGGAGCAACACAUACAUGUGUACACACUUGUGCAUGCGUGUGCACACUUCAGCCACACAGACACUGAGGCAAGAGGCAUGAAGAUCAGAGAAGGAAAUAUUUUAAGUUCUGCAGCUCCAUGUAUGUACAUACAGACCUCUGUCCCCAGCCCACUCAUGCGGAGCCCUUUUUGUCCGUUUUGCUUCUCCUGAAAAAUCUGAUGAUGCAUCCUGGCACAUGGGAAAAAGCGAGUGGUUUGCUAAAGCUCUUAGGGGGUUGGUCUGCUUUUUUAAUCUAUUGUUAAAUGGAUUUGGAGGCCAGAAGAAGAAAUGCUAUUUUUAUAUUUUGCCAAUUGAAAUCAAAAUAAAUAAAUAGCUAAAAGGAGCUCGCUCACCAAUGUACAUUAUCUAUACGUUGCUAUGUUAUGCUACCAAGUACAGCCCAGCACCUAUUACUACGACUUUCAGACAGAAUCGUAGAAACUCUGGAUGGCUGAGGUGGGCAGGGACCUCUGGGUCCAUCUGGUCCAACUCCUGCACAAGCAGGGCCGUGCACAGCAGGGCAACCAGACCCACUCCCAGGCAGAUCUUGGAGAUCUUCAAGGAGGAGACUCCACAGUCUCUGGGCAGCCUGUGCAAGCACUCCAGCACCGGUGCAUUAAAAUGUUUGCUGAUGUUCAGAGGGAACCUCCUGUGUUCCAGUUCGUGUCCGUUGCCUCUUGUCCUGGAACUGGGCACCACUGGAAAGAGCCUGGCCCCAUCCUUUUGGUACCCUCCCUUCAGCUGUAUGUAGAUGUGAAUGAGAUCCCCUUGAGCUGCUUCUUCUCCAGGCUGAACAGGCCCAGCUCUCUCAGCCUUUCCUCACGGGAGAGAUGCUCCAGCCUCUUCAUCAUCUUAGUGGCCCUACACUGGACUCUUUCCAGUAUGUCCAUACCUUUCUUGUACUUGGGGGCCCAGAAAUGGACCCAGCACUCCAGGUGUGGCCUCACCAGCACUAAGGCAGUGACGACAUAUUCUGAGCUUGCAAAAGUCUCCCAUAUUUCUCUCCUUUACAGGGAACAACCACAAUUUUAAAGGAUUUGUCAUUUUAAAAAUAAUGAAUAACAAGAUAUAUACCUUGUUCCAUUUUCCAGAAAGAAGAUAUUUAGAAUAGGGCACUGAAAAAGCCUAUCACUUCACAUCACUUUCUUCUAUGAUUUUCAGAGCCAGAAUAGCAGUGGGAAAGUGACUCAGGUCACCAGAGUAGCAAAAACGUGAAUGUCAAGUGGUGAGAAAAAAUAAAUAAGUCAGUGGCUGUAAUAUUACCAAGAGAAUCAGAGGCUUGCUCCUCCUGAAGAAAAGCUGUCUGCAGCCAGCUCUCACAGCAACUGAGCCAAGGCAACUGCCAAUGCAGGCAAAGCAAAGCAAAAUGAAGUUCAAGGCCUAUUGCCAAGGGGUGGAAAGGUUUAAGCACAACAAAUGCCUCAUCUUGACAAUGUAAAUUCUGCAGAGACUUGAACAGAAAAGGCCAAUUACUAGCUUAUGUUCCAGUUCUAAUCUGAAAUUAUAGGAUAGAUUUCUAAUGAGGGGGAACAUUACUGGAGGCAGCUGUGGUGGAUGGAGGGGUACAUUGCUGUAAUUACAGAUCCUUGUGCAUUGGUGACAGAAGUUCCAAAACUUCAAGAGGAAACACCUUUGUAAUAUUUGUUUUUGCAGAAUCAAAUAACACCCUCAAUUUGCAGUGGAAUGGAAACAUUCAAGUGUGUGAGCAUUUAAAGCAGACUGUGGCACUACCUGGCAUGUGGCAGUAGCUGGACUAAGUGGGCAGAGUUAAGCCAAUGUACUGGGACCCUAACUCAAACAAGGGCUGCAUGAACGGUGGUUGACCAGAGCAAAUAGAGCAGCGGCAACUGAGGGGAGAAAAAACAGAUGAAGUAAAAAGAGAGACAAAGUCUUAGGCGGAACAUCUGAUAUAGUACAGUCAAAACAAACUCCUUUCCUCCUUUCAAGAAUAUUGCUAGCAGCGAGGGUGCGGAAUCUUUCACACACUUAAUUAUAACACAGUGCAUGUUACUAGAAAGACCAAGAAAAUGAUUUUUGA